rnacentral:lncRNA from 1 species
UAAGCUACAUCAUUGUGAAAUAAAAUAAUAAAAAGAUGAAAAAUAUCACCAUGAUCAAUACAAUGAAUAAGAAUUUAAUCUUAGAAAUUGUUGUUCUUUAACUACCAUGUCCCAACAAAGAUCUUCAACUUUUUCUUAAGUGGUUGUAUCUAUCUCUUGGCCAAUUGUAAUAUUCAAUCUUCAAUCCCAAAGUGAGGUACAAAUCUUGAGAAAUUUAGAUUUAUGGUAAUUUAGUCUCAAGAUUGUAUCU